AUACGUAGGGGGCAAGCGUUAUCCGGAUUUACUGGGUGUAAAGGGAGCGUAGACGGCAGAGCAAGUCUGAUGUGAAAGCCCGGGGCUCAACCCCGGAACUGCAUUGGAAACUGCUGAGCUUGAGUGUCGGAGGGGUAAGCGGAAUUCCUAGUGUAGCGGUGAAAUGCGUAGAUAUUAGGAGGAACACCGGUGGCGAAGGCGGCUUACUGGACGAUCACUGACGUUGAGGCUCGAAAGCGUGGGGAGCAAACAGGAUUAGAUACCCUGGUAGUCCACGCUGUAAACGAUGAAUACUAGGUGUGGGUGUGCACUGCACAUCCGUGCCGCAGCUAACGCAGUAAGUAUUCCACCUGGGGAGUACGUUCGCAAGAAUGAAACUCAAAUGAAUUGACGGGG
rnacentral:rRNA from 1 species